rnacentral:rRNA from 1 species
UUGAACGCUGGCGGCAGGCCUAACACAUGCAAGUCGAGCGGUAGCACAGAGAGCUUGCUCUCGGGUGACGAGCGGCGGACGGGUGAGUAAUGUCUGGGAAACUGCCUGAUGGAGGGGGAUAACUACUGGAAACGGUAGCUAAUACCGCAUAAUGUCGCAAGACCAAAGUGGGGGACCUUCGGGCCUCAUGCCAUCAGAUGUGCCCAGAUGGGAUUAGCUAGUAGGUGGGGUAACGGCUCACCUAGGCGACGAUCCCUAGCUGGUCUGAGAGGAUGACCAGCCACACUGGAACUGAGACACGGUCCAGACUCCUACGGGAGGCAGCAGUGGGGAAUAUUGCACAAUGGGCGCAAGCCUGAUGCAGCCAUGCCGCGUGUGUGAAGAAGGCCUUCGGGUUGUAAAGCACUUUCAGCGGGGAGGAAGGCGAUAAGGUUAAUAACCUUGUCGAUUGACGUUACCCGCAGAAGAAGCACCGGCUAACUCCGUGCCAGCAGCCGCGGUAAUACGGAGGGUGCAAGCGUUAAUCGGAAUUACUGGGCGUAAAGCGCACGCAGGCGGUCUGUCAAGUCGGAUGUGAAAUCCCCGGGCUCAACCUGGGAACUGCAUUCGAAACUGGCAGGCUAGAGUCUUGUAGAGGGGGGUAGAAUUCCAGGUGUAGCGGUGAAAUGCGUAGAGAUCUGGAGGAAUACCGGUGGCGAAGGCGGCCCCCUGGACAAAGACUGACGCUCAGGUGCGAAAGCGUGGGGAGCAAACAGGAUUAGAUACCCUGGUAGUCCACGCCGUAAACGAUGUCGAUUUGGAGGUUGUGCCCUUGAGGCGUGGCUUCCGGAGCUAACGCGUUAAAUCGACCGCCUGGGGAGUACGGCCGCAAGGUUAAAACUCAAAUGAAUUGACGGGGGCCCGCACAAGCGGUGGAGCAUGUGGUUUAAUUCGAUGCAACGCGAAGAACCUUACCUACUCUUGACAUCCAGAGAACUUUCCAGAGAUGGAUUGGUGCCUUCGGGAACUCUGAGACAGGUGCUGCAUGGCUGUCGUCAGCUCGUGUUGUGAAAUGUUGGGUUAAGUCCCGCAACGAGCGCAACCCUUAUCCUUUGUUGCCAGCGGUUAGGCCGGGAACUCAAAGGAGACUGCCAGUGAUAAACUGGAGGAAGGUGGGGAUGACGUCAAGUCAUCAUGGCCCUUACGACCAGGGCUACACACGUGCUACAAUGGCAUAUACAAAGAGAAGCGACCUCGCGAGAGCAAGCGGACCUCAUAAAGUAUGUCGUAGUCCGGAUUGGAGUCUGCAACUCGACUCCAUGAAGUCGGAAUCGCUAGUAAUCGUAGAUCAGAAUGCUACGGUGAAUACGUUCCCGGGCCUUGUACACACCGCCCGUCACACCAUGGGAGUGGGUUGCAAAAGAAGUAGGUAGCUUAACCUUCGGGAGGGCGCUUACCACUUUGUGAUUCAUGACUGGGGUG